GGCUAGAUAGUGUAGUGGUUAUCACGGAGGAUUCUGAUUCCUUCAACCCAGGUUCGAUCCCUGGUCUGGCCU
rnacentral:tRNA from 1 species